CGAGUGGGUUUCAAUCCUUUCUCGAGGAGACAAAUUCAGAGCCAUGCAAAUCUGAAUUGACUACUUAUCUUGAAGACAAGACUCAUCCCAUUAAUGAUCCAAGUUUCACAUUACUUGACUGGUGGAGGUUGAAUGCUCAUAGAUAUCCUAUUGUGGCAAAAAUGGCAAAGAAGUUCUUUACUAUACCAGCUACUAGUGUUUCAUCAGAGUCAACAUUCUCUAUAGGAGGUAGAGUUCUAGAUGACUACCGUAGUUCUCUACUCCCAAGCAUGGUUGAGGCACUUAUUUGUGCUUCUAACUUCAUCAAAGGAUCAAAAGAAAACCACAUUAGGCCUACAACCAUAGUGGAAGAUGACAUUGAUGAUGUUGUUGAGUUCAUUCCAUUUCCUGAAUCUAUUGUGGAAAGCAACUAGCAGGAAAACUCUGCAAGUUCAUGAAGGCAUCAUACGCAGCAAGGUGGAAGGGCUCCUGGAAUGUUCAUUCACUACUGCCUGUAGCGUGUUGCUACUAUCUUUAAAAUUUAUUAAAUUAUGCAAACUGAAAGGUGCA